rnacentral:tRNA from 7 species
GGUGAUGUAGCUCAGCUGGUUAGAGCGCAGGAUUCAUAAUCCUGAGGUCGAGAGUUCAAGUCUCUCCAUCACCACCA